CUGAACUUCAGAAUUUGGGGAUCUGGGAGUGGUCACAUGGUAUGGGCAUGGCGUGUUACAAUCCACAGUGUAGUCAGAUGUAGCAGACUGUGCCCAAGUGUGGGCACAUUUUUUAAAGAUGUGGAAUCAAGGUGUUUUCUCCCUAGACUGUAGGAGGAAAAUCCGUGUGUGUUGUGUCAGUUCAAGACAAGAUUUACCACCAGAUGAGUGGAGCUCAUGUAAAGUGUUCUCGGCUGAGUGAGGAAGAAAGAAGGAAUGAACUGUGGAAAACACGCCAGAAGCUAUGGACUCUGUACAGACUGCAAGUGAGUCAACUAAAAGCAAUGAGAAUUCCCACUGAGUUCACUGGUGAGCCAUGGCACUUCCGGGUCUGUGUCAUUACAGCUGAGAAGACUAGAAAAUGGAGUGUUUUGAUCAACAAGAUCACUUUCGGAAGACAGAAUGGCCCACAAGUCUGUCUACAAGUCUAACAAGAACAGAGAUAUAGCAACCAAAUCCAAAGCCCUGGUACAUGUUCCAGUACUGAAAAACAGAGGCUGGCCUGGAACUCAUGGUCCUGGAACACGUGCUGAUUACAUCAGUAUCCCCUGUGUUAGCCUUAUGGUCAUGUUUCUCCUCGUCUGGCAAGAAAUGGACCUUAAAGGAAGAACUGACUCCCAUAGUGUAAGAGGAAAGCUGUACUCUAGACAGCUGUGUGGCAAGUCGCUGGAACCUAUUUGUAGAGGAGCCAGCAAGAGGCACUGA
rnacentral:lncRNA from 1 species